UCAGAACGAACGCUGGCGGCGUGGAUAAGACAUGCAAGUCGAACGGGAUCAGUGAGGUAGCAAUACAUCAUUGGUUCAGUGGCGAACGGGUGCGUAACACGUGGAUACAUUCCGGGAAGCGGGGGAUAGCCCAGGGAAACUUGGAUUGAUACCGCAUGUGAUCGAAAGAUCAAAGACGGGGACCGCAAGGCCUGUCACUUCCCGAUUGGUCCGCGGCCUAUCAGCUAGUUGGCGGGGUAAUGGCCCACCAAGGCAACGACGGGUAGCUGGUCUGAGAGGACGACCAGCCACACUGGAACUGAGACACGGUCCAGACACCUACGGGUGGCAGCAGUCGAGAAUCUUUCACAAUGGGGGAAACCCUGAUGGAGCGACGCCGCGUGGAGGAUAAGGUCUUCGGAUUGUAAACUCCUGUCAUGCGUGAACAAGGUGGCUAGGUUAAUAACCUGUGCCAAUUGAUGGUAACGCAAGAGGAAGAGACGGCUAACUCUGUGCCAGCAGCCGCGGUAAUACAGAGGUCUCAAGCGUUGUUCGGAAUCACUGGGCGUAAAGGGUGCGUAGGUGGCGUGGUAAGUCAGAUGUGAAAGCCCGGGGCUCAACCUCGGAACUGCAUCCGAUACUGCCGUGCUAGAGUACUGAAGAGGUGACUAGAAUUCUAGGUGUAGCAGUGAAAUGCGUAGAUAUCUAGAGGAAUACCAA
rnacentral:rRNA from 1 species